rnacentral:rRNA from 1 species
UGGGGAAUAUUGGACAAUGGGGGCAAUCCUGAUCCAGCAAUGCCGCGUGUGUGAAGAAGGUCUUCGGAUUGUAAAGCACUUUCGACGGGGACGAUGAUGACGGUACCCGUAGAAGAAGCCCCGGCUAACUUCGUGCCAGCAGCCGCGGUAAUACGAAGGGGGCUAGCGUUGCUCGGAAUGACUGGGCGUAAAGGGCGUGUAGGCGGUUUACACAGUCAGAUGUGAAAUCCCCGGGCUUAACCUGGGAGCUGCAUUUGAUACGUGUAGACUAGAGUGUGAGAGAGGGUUGUGGAAUUCCCAGUGUAGAGGUGAAAUUCGUAGAUAUUGGGAAGAACACCGGUGGCGAAGGCGGCAACCUGGCUCAUGACUGACGCUGAGGCGCGAAAGCGUGGGGAGCAAACAGGAUUAGAUACCCUGGUAGUCCACGCUGUAAACGAUGUGUGCUAGAUGUUGGGUAACUUUGUUAUUCAGUGUCGCAGUUAACGCGUUAAGCACACCGCCUGGGGAGUACGGCCGCAAGGUUGAAAC